ACUCCUACGGGAGGCAGCAGUGGGGAAUAUUGCACAAUGGGCGCAAGCCUGAUGCAGCCAUGCCGCGUGUAUGAAGAAGGCCUUCGGGUUGUAAAGUACUUUCAGCGGGGAGGAAGGCAAUACGGUUAAUAACCGUGUUGAUUGACGUUACCCGCAGAAGAAGCACCGGCUAACUCCGUGCCAGCAGCCGCGGUAAUACGGAGGGUGCAAGCGUUAAUCGGAAUUACUGGGCGUAAAGCGCACGCAGGCGGUCUGUCAAGUCGGAUGUGAAAUCCCCGGGCUCAACCUGGGAACUGCAUUCGAAACUGGCAGGCUUGAGUCUUGUAGAGGGGGGUAGAAUUCCAGGUGUAGCGGUGAAAUGCGUAGAGAUCUGGAGGAAUACCGGUGGCGAAGGCGGCCCCCUGGACAAAGACUGACGCUCAGGUGCGAAAGCGUGGGGAGCAAACAGGAUUAGAUACCCUUGUAGUCCCAU
rnacentral:rRNA from 1 species